rnacentral:rRNA from 1 species
AAGGUGAUAUGAACCGUUAUAACCGGCGAUACCCGAAUGGGGAAACCCAGUGUGAUUCGUCACACUAUCAUUAACUGAAUCCAUAGGUUAAUGAGGCGAACCGGGGGAACUGAAACAUCUAAGUACCCCGAGGAAAAGAAAUCAACCGAGAUUCCCCCAGUAGCGGCGAGCGAACGGGGAGGAGCCCAGAGCCUGAAUCAGCAUGUGUGUUAGUGGAAGCGUCUGGAAAGGCGCGCGAUACAGGGUGACAGCCCCGUACACAAAAGCGCAUGUGCUGUGAGCUCGAUGAGUAGGGCGGGACACGUGGUAUCCUGUCUGAAUAUGGGGGGACCAUCCUCCAAGGCUAAAUACUCCUGACUGACCGAUAGUGAACCAGUACCGUGAGGGAAAGGCGAAAAGAACCCCGGCGAGGGGAGUGAAAAAGAACCUGAAACCGUGUACGUACAAGCAGUGGGAGC